CUGUCUAAGUCAGGUUUGCGAUGCAGUUAUUCGUGAAUGAGUUCGAACUGAUUGGUCAAUUCGACGACGAAUGGAGAUUUUGACAUGAAACAGCAAUAACCAAACAUGUAUUUUGAAUCCACCUCUUGUCCAACGUGUGAUCAUUAACAAGAAGAAUAGCAUGCUCUUUUCAAUAGAAGAUAUUACGAUUGAAAGUCAGAAUGAAACCAAUUUCAAGCGUAUAAUGAGGCCGGAUAAUAAAGGAAAGAACGGAAUAAACGAAAUUGAUGGUAUUUACUUUAUCGGAAUUUCACAAUACCAGUGUAGGAAUCCAGAUAUUUUACAUCUGAUAUUUAAAGGACGGUAUAUCGCUUGGACAUUC